rnacentral:rRNA from 1 species
GACGAACGCUGGCGGCGUGCCUAACACAUGCAAGUCGAACGGAGUAAGUAGCAAUACUUACUUAGUGGCGAACGGGUGAGUAACGCGUAGAUAACCUGCCUCUAAAAUGGGGACAACACCGCGAAAGUGGUGCUAAUACCGAAUGUGAUAUCUUGGUUGCAUGACUAAGAUAAGAAAGAUGGCCUCUACAUGUAAGCUAUCGUUUAGAGAUGGGUCUGCGUCUGAUUAGCUAGUUGGUGAGGUAAAGGCUCACCAAGGCGACGAUCAGUAGCCGGCCUGGGAGGAUGAACGGCCACCCGGGGACUGAGACACGGCCCAGACUCCUACGGGAGGCAGCAGUGGGGAAUCUUCCGCAAUGGACGAAAGUCUGACGGAGCAACGCCGCGUGAGUGAAGAAGGCCUUCGGGUCGUAAAGCUCUGUCGUUUGGGACGAAUGUGCUGUGUGUGAAUAAUGCAUAGUAAUAACGGUACCAAAGGAGGAAGCCACGGCUAACUACGUGCCAGCAGCCGCCGUAA